ACUGAAGCAACUCUGAGAAAGCAGCUACAGCAAGCAGCCCUAGUCCUGGAGAAAGCAAAGGGAAGAGGCUAGAGUUAUGAGAACCAAGAUGCUUGGAGGAAGGGCCUGUGGAGCUGGGGCUUGAUAACCAUACGCAAUAAGAAGAAGGAAGUCUCUCUACCAUCCUCCAGCCUUCUGCCACCUGCAGUUCCUCAAAGAAGCCCAAAGUGAGAGGCAGCUUGCAAACCUGUCCUCUUGCCCUGAUGAGUGGGUUUGACAGGUGACAAAGUGCCUGGGCCUCAGCAGCCCCUCCACACGUGUUCACCAUCACCAUAACCACCUGGACCUCCACCACCUCCAUGCCAGGCACUGCUCCAGGUUCUGGGGAUAUAGAAGGAUCAGACAGAUGGGUCUCCGCCCUCUUGGAGUAGGAAGCACACCAUCCCCAUUUCACAGAUGGGAAGGCGAGGAGCAGAGACAGCAUGUACUGGCCCAAGGUUGUACCAGCACAAAGAGGUGGACCUGAGACUCAAGCUGAGGUCUCUGCACUGCUGAGCUCCUGCCCACCCCGUCCUGGCAGCACCCUGGCAGCAGCAUGGCAUUCCAGGGACAGCCAGACCCUUCCCUCAGGGCAAGCACCACUUCGAGCCACCUGAGCAGUGCAGGUCCUUUCCAAAGCCCACUUCAAAAUGCUCUCCAGGUUUUCAUCUUCUUGGGGACUAAUUUUUCCUAUUUUGAUUUUCUCUGGUCAGAGACUGAACACUAUUCCUUUGUAUUUUCCCUCAUUCUUCCACAUUGGCUGCUUCUCUCCCACUCCCCUGCUUACCUCCAUCUCUGCCUCCUUUCUGCCCAGUCCUUCCUGCCUGGGCUUUUAUUCCUGCCCUCAGCCUCUCCUAGUUGCAUGCUCUCUUUCACCUCCACUCAGUUCUCCUGCUCUCUGCCCUGUCCCUUCCUGUCCACGGCAGCCCCCUCCCAGGCCACCUCUCCCCUGCCGCUCACCCCAGUCUCCCUGCCCUCUCCCUCCCUCCCAGGCUCCUUGGCCAGCCCCUUCCCUGCAUAAUCUUUAUCGCCUGCAUGACUGCUCAGGUUCUUUAUCCCAUCUUCCCCUCAAAGGCAUUCGCAGUUCGGCUGUUAUUCUUGUAUUAGCAUUGAACCCAUUAAAGCUAAUUUGUUUGCCCUAAUCUCCAUUUAUUUUUCCCUAGUUGAUAUUAGAUUUCCCUUUCUAUUGCUCCAGCAUGAUUUUCUCUUUGUCUUCCUAAUGGUCUACCCCCCUCUCUCUUCCUCUAUUAAUCUGGUUGGCUUCACUGUGUGGUUUCAAGGCCUUUCUCCGCCUCCCCCGGUCCUUAGAUUAACCCUGUCACCUCCCUCCCAGGAAGGGCUUCAGUGUGUGGAUUUCCAGGGAUGGAGCUGCUGCACAUGUCAAUAGACCUCCAAGCUCCCUAAGAAGAGUCCUGCUUGACAUGAGGCCCUGCCUCUUCCUGAAGUCAGUCCAGAGACCUCAGGAACACAGAGGUGCCACAGAGCGGGAGGCGAGUGGGACAAACAGGGGCUGCUCUGAGCCUGAAGGUCACCAGGCCCAAUGGUUCCCUGGGUAGGGUCGCCUUUGGGGCUCUCUCAAAGAUUUCUGGAGGCCUCUGCCAGCUUUCUGAGAUCCUAUAAAUUAUAUCAGCAGGCCAAACAGCAAAUGGAGCACUUUCUCUCUCUGGCUAAGACUGGGCACUGUUUCCCAACCAGGGGAAACACUCCUUUUCCGAAGAGAUGAAGCUCC